rnacentral:lncRNA from 1 species
CCCCCCUCUGAGAAGCCGGGAUGAGCUGAGCCCUCGCCGCCCUCUGCCCUUUCCCAGAGAGAGCAGCUGUCCUGCGAGGGGGGUGUGYGUGCGGUUUGAGAACCGGCCUGUUCAUUGAGGCACAAGAGUUGGUGUGUUUACGGACUGGCUUCUGCUCUGAGCUUGUAGGUCUGUUUUGAUAUCCAGUUGCAGGAAAGGGUUCCUCCUUUCCCCCCCCCCCCGGUUCUGUACACAAAGUACUCGCUUACCGCUGGGGACGCGGCCCUAUAGGCAGAGAACAAAUUCCAGCCGGGGUUCUUGAAGCUAAACUGCCUCCUGAGAUGGCUUCUGAAAUUGGAAUACACAGCGUUUUUGGGACGCGCCUUUGUUGGAUUUUAAUAUAUGUCCUGCUAACAACAGCUUUCAACUAUGGAAUCGGCAUGGAGCAGUGCAGGAACCAURCUGCUGUUGAGCUGGCCGCCAGGGAGGAGCGGACUUCGAAGGGAGACAAGGCUGGGCGUCCUUCAGAGCGCUGUGAUGUGCCCUCAUCCUCUCUCGAAGUUUCCCCGAGGGUUGUGUUUGCCCUCUGUGCGCGUCCUGCAGUGCUGGUCCGGGGGUUAGGUAGGAGCAGUCCGGGGCAGGAUCCUCCUGUCCCACGGCCUGGGUGUUUCCCGACAGAAAUAAGGACAACAGCUUUCCCUGCUACUAGUCCAAAAAGAAUUUAGUUCCUGUGGAAAUUUCUAUUCAAAUACAGAAGCAAGCUUAGAAUUACUCUUAGUCUAACAAUGUUAAYGUCUGUGUGGUUUAUUUUUAUUCUUAAAGCAGAGCAGCUUUGUUUUGCUGUGCCGGUGAUGUAACUGUUCUGGCCGGAGCGCUGGCUGCGUCG